GAUGAACGCUGGCGGCGUGCCUAAUACAUGCAAGUCGAGCGAACGGACGAGAAGCUUGCUUCUCUGAUGUUAGCGGCGGACGGGUGAGUAACACGUGGAUAACCUACCUAUAAGACGGGGAUAACUUCGGGAAACCGGAGCUAAUACCGGAUAAUAUUUUGAAGCGCAUGGUUCAAAAGUGAAAGACGGUCUUGCUGUCACUUAUAGAUGGAUCCGCGCUGCAUUAGCUAGUUGGUAAGGUAACGGCUUACCAAGGCAACGAUGCAUAGCCGACCUGAGAGGGUGAUCGGCCACACUGGAACUGAGACACGGUCCAGACUCCUACGGGAGGCAGCAGUAGGGAAUCUUGCGCAAUGGGCGAAAGCCUGACGGAGCAACGCCGCGUGAGUGAUGAAGGUCUUCGGAUCGUAAAACUCUGUUAUUAGGGAAGAACAUAUGUGUAAGUAACUGUGCACAUCUUGACGGUACCUAAUCAGAAAGCCACGGCUAACUACGUG
rnacentral:rRNA from 1 species